ensembl:lncRNA
GGGCUUUAUUGACUAUAAUUAUCACCAACCUCAGAUGACACCAAGUAGCAUCCUGUCUCUUGCUACCACAAGGACCGCCCCACACAGACCUGCUUCCUGGGGAACAGACUCAAACACAGCAGGUUUUGGACAAGGGGUCAUGGUUAUCUUCUAUCUGACAGACACUCCGCUCAAUGUUCAUAGAGAAGGAAGACUUUUAUUUGCCAAUGAAGAACACAUGACAACAAAAGAACAAAGAGAUGUGAUAUUUUUCUCCAGGGGCCAAUUCUCUCACUUUUGGAUAGAUGCACUUUGUCAUCAAGAAUAUCUUGAGACUUCCCCUGACCUUAUUUUACACCACCUCAGGCUUCUCAUCAGCACUCUCAGACUCCAAAUAUGUUUCACAAAUCUAUUCAAAAUACUUUCCAAGGUACAUUUCCAUAUGCCCCAAGCUUCUCCAUUUCAACCUCUUUGAAAUAGAGAAGACAUGGACCACUUUGAGGAAAAUGACCAAAUGGCAAGAAAAAACUCUCUCUUUCCUCUUGGAGGUCUGAAGAAGAAAGGCCACAGGGAUGGAGCAGCAGGCAGUUACGUGUGCCUGUGUCAUAGAAUUUGAAUGCAGAGCCAUGGAGCCCUUGCAGGAGGUAAGGUCUAUGGUGUAUGAUUUGAUCCAGGAACCCUUUGGAAGACUUGAAGUGAACUAUGGAAGCAGAGACAAUCAGGAAACCUGGACCAUGAGCUAUGACACAUAUCACAAAUUCAUCAGUUGCAGAAAUGCCUGGAGAAAGUAGUCAGCUAAACCUGAUCUCAGCAAACAUCAUUCAGCACCCACCCAAGAGGAAUCAUGGGGCGACCCUUCUUUCUGAAAGGAUGAAGAUCUUUCUCCUUUACUCUGACACCAUUUUAAAAGAGAAUGAGGGACUUUCCAGAUGAUCCAGUGGUUAAGACUCUGCAUUCCCAGUGCAAGGGGCCCAGGUUCCAUCCCUGGUCAGGGAACUAGAUUCCACAUGCCACAGCUAAGAGCCCAUAUGCCACAAUUAAAAGAUCCUGCUUGCCACAAUGAGGACUUGGUGCAGACAAAAUUUAAAAAAAUAAAUAAAGAGGAUGAGGUGUAGGGAGGAAUCUG